ensembl:lncRNA
CCACUGCUGUCUUUGUUCUGGAGUUCCUGGGCUGGUUUCUAAUGUGUCCUGUGGGUCUUGAGAUUUGAAUUGGCCUUUGUUGUGGUCUCCACUGAUUAUAGACUUAAUUGUCCCAUGAGACCUAAAAUCAGCUCCAGCGUUCAAUCAGUUCAAAGUCUGCUGUGCCACUUUGCAUCAGUGCUGACAGGCCGCUUUGUUGAUAUCAAAGAGGUCUUUCUCUUUGCUUCGCCGUGUCUGCGUUAUCAGUGCAGGCUGUCGCCGUUGUUUCUCAUUAUCUGCUAUUUCUUCUUUUAGUUGUGGUUCUGGAUCCAUCCGGUCUGCAGCGGCCUGUUACCAAGGUGUCCACUAACCAGCACCAGACCUGGCUGGAAAAACCUCGACGCCCAGCACCCUGCUGACGUAGAAGAGUCCACGAGUCAAUCAGCAGCAGAGCUAUUUAUUAACUGCAGACUGGUGGAAGUGUUUACUGCAGCACAUGUUUCAGCUACACAUAGCUGUGGAGCGGCAUCCCCCUCCUUUUGCCCCAGUUAGCCCCCCCAGCACCAUGAGACGUUUCCAUGAGGUCAAAGAAGCGAGCGGGGCUCUGUAAAUGACUGGAGAGCCACUGAGUCCCCGUGAUGAAACAGACAGCUAGGGUUUCACAAGUGCCGUCACUCCCUCUGCCAAAAUGAGAACCCAGUGGGUGAGUAGGGGGCGUGCCAGCCAGGCCCAGCCAGUUUCACAAUGUGACUUGGUUUCUGGAUCUGUUUCUCUACAGCUAAACCCUCACAAGAGGAGGGAGAGACCUGGACUUGAAGGAUUUCUGUGCAGGAGGAAAGCAGGAAGGAGGCCAUCACCUUCAUGCAGACCUCACUGAUUUCUCUUUCCUGUGCCGGACGUCGCCUUUUCUACAGCACACACACACAACCGGACUCCCAGAGAGACGUUGAUGAGAGCCGCCUGAGGUCAGAGUCAUGAAGCUGCACUUGAACUAACUGCAGUGAGCCACAAGGACACAUUUACUUCACCUGCAAGGCAGAUAAUAGCCCUCCCCAACCAGACCUUUCUCCUUUCAGCCACCUCCACCAGCUCAUUCAGGGGGAUAACAGGGCAGUCCCAGGCUAACCAGGAGAUGUAAUCCUUCCUCUGUGUCCUGGUUCUGCCCUUGGGCCCUUCUCCCAACUGGACAGGCCCAGAACACCUCACCACCAUGUUGAAUCUGCAUUAGAUUCUGUAACAAGGUCCAGGAGGAGGAUGGGGGGGCUCACUGCUGGGUGCAAGGUGGCCAGAUGCUCUCCCCUCAUGGGGCCAGAUAUGAACAUAGGCCAGAAGAAUGGCUGAGGUUUGCCCCUCUUAUGGAUGGGCCCGGGGGGUCAGCUGAACCCUCAGCUGCCAAAACACUCUCAAGUGUCGAAAAAGCUGCUGACAUGAUCUGACUUGGUGGUGACUGUGUGAGACACAACACAAAAACAAAAGCCAACUAUUGGUUAAAGUCCUCAGAAAGCUCAGAGAGAAAGUGCACAAUAGAUUCCCAGCCACACCACAAGAUGACCUCACAAACACACAACUCUGUACGGGGUUAAACAACGACCUUUAAAGGGAAGCAUGAUGCCAGCUGAUUA